CCUUCGAUAGCUCAGUUGGUAGAGCGGAGGACUGUAGGUUGAUAAUUACAGGCAUCCUUAGGUCACUGGUUCAAUUCUGGCUCGAAGGA
rnacentral:tRNA from 1 species